rnacentral:lncRNA from 1 species
CUCCUUUUCACUGUUCACUGCCAUCUCUCUCUCCCCCCCUCUCUCCCUCUCUCUCUAGGUGUGUGUGAGUGUGUGUGUGUGUGUGUGUGUGUGUUUGUGUUUGUCUUUGUGUUUGUUUGUGUGUGUGUGUGUGUGUGUGUGUGUUUGUGUGUGACAAAGGUGGAGAGAGUGAGGAUGUUUACAUGUGAAUGUGUGAUGCACCAAAUGUAAUACAAUUUGUGUGUGUGUGUUUAUGUGUGUGUGUAGGUGGUAAAGGAAGGUAAACGAGGUUGAACAGUACUGAGUGCCGUCUGGUAAUCAUCAGCCUGUUGUGCUCACUGUUGCCGCUUCCCAGAAGCAGACAGCAUUCCCCGCACUCCCAAUCACUAAACUCCGAGCGGGAUCAGCAGGAAUCUGGGGGAGUUUCCUGUCAGUUUGCCUGUCCAACAGUCAUUCCUACAGAGAACCCUCUCCUACCUCCCCAUGGCCAACAGGCACCUUCAAUUGCCCACAACUUUCAGGAUGCGACUCAACCCCACCAACCCCCAACCAGAAUGUUAUUAUUAAAAUACUUCUUUCUCUCUCCCGGUCUGUGCUGGAAAUAUGAAUAUAUAAAUGAAUGUUUGAAAUGUUUACGUUCACUUAGUCUGUCUCCAUAGUGACUGAGUUUGAUAGGAUAUGUGUCUCCAAAGUGACAGAGAAAUGUUGUAUGAACAGCGUCCUCAUGCUGUUUACAUUUACAUUUACAUUUAGUCAUUUAGCAGACGCUUUUAUCCAAAAAGUAAGCGACUUACAAUGUAUACACAUUUUACAUUUACACUGAUGGCACACUGCACAUCAGGAGCAAUUAGGGGUUCAGUGUCUUGCUCAAGGACGCUUCGACAGGGAAUCGAACUAGCAACCUUCUGCUUACUAAACGACUUCUUUACCUCCUGUACCACUGUCGCACCCCGCCCCCUGUUUGAAACUUAAAAUAUGGUUUUACUUUACCCAUAUAUGUAGUUUCACUUUACCCAUGUAUGAGUGCUACACUGCUGUAUAGGGUAGUCUUAUUUUGUCCUCUGGUCCUCCUAUGACCUAGUUCGUCUUGGGCAGGGGUUCUCAAACUUCUGCAAGCUGGGCCCCCCCAAAGCUGGUUAAGGGUAGUUGGGGCCCCCCCAUCCGCCCGCGGCCCGCCGCCACCGCCCUCAACUACACCACCAUAUAUAGAUAGAUAGAUAGAUAGCGUAUUGUUAUUGAUAGGCCUGACAUGUCAAGGUUAGGCUAUUGUUAUUGUUAGGCCCAUACAGACAAUUAUUAUAACUAUUUAUUAUUAUUAUUAUUGUUAUUAUUAUUAUCAGUAAUAG